ACGCAGCAGCAUCUACCUUUUCAUCUUCACCACAAGAAGUGAACCAGCUCAGCAGCAGCCGCGGCCUCGGAAUCAGCAUUUUUUCUCCCAAAACGGAAGCGCACCAGGCGGCGGAAGUGGCUCAGGCGGGUCACAAUGGAACAGUGGAGUUGAUGUUGGUUCUAGUGUUUUCAUUAUGAUCUAAUCUGUCCAACCCAUGAGUGAACAUAUGCAACAGCCCACUGCCCUGAAAAAGGACGAUCAACCUUUUAAUAUAACAGCCAGAAUAAAAAAUAAUCCCUGAAAAUCUUCUGAAACGACGAAGUGGAACAUUUGUUUUUAUCACGGCGGAACCAGAGGAGUCAGCGUUGGAAACAGCAACUAAUUAGUCAGCAUCUUUAGAAUUCAGAAUUGCAUCCGUGGCCCAGAUUCCAGUCAUGAGGGCCUUGGAGGUAAAAAUCACAUUCUGAAAGCAUACAUCUGGUUCUCGAACUGCCGGAAUUCAGUGAAGAGUUGUUAUCCGUAACGAUGUCUAGAUAUUCUUAUUUCUGGAAGUGAGCGUGAACAAGAGUAUUGACGCCGCAAACGAACAAGUUCCCCCCGCCUGCGGAAGAGGCGAAAAAACACUUCCAAAAGGCCUGCGGUGAUAUGGUGACAUCAUACAAAUCAGAUGGACACCACUAUACAUACUGUCUAUUAGUAAAAAUACGGUCGACUUGUAGAUUCAGUGAUUAAUAAAAUAUAAUGCUAUACAAGCCCAGAUGUUUCAUUUU